AUCAAACAUUCUGCUCAAAAUUUGGCUUGCCUGCUUGACGCUUUACUUUUGAUGGUGUAUAGUGGAACCAUCAUUUAACAACUUCUUAAGUCGUUAGGUGAUGAAAAAUUUUUUUUAGUAUGCCGAAAGGUGUGCUACAGUACUAGGAGGAAAAAGCAAUAUGCAAAACGGUAAAGUAAAAUGGUUCAAUAAUGAAAAAGGUUUCGGCUUCAUUGAAGUUGAAGGCGGAGACGACGUAUUCGUUCACUUCACAGCUAUCGAAGGUGACGGUUACAAAUCUCUAGAAGAAGGACAAGAAGUUUCUUUUGAAAUCGUUGAAGGUAAUCGUGGACCUCAAGCUGCAAACGUAACAAAAAUCUAAUCAACUCAAUCAAUGAUGAAACGACAAAAUAAAGAGAGGCGUAUGCCUCUCUUAUUUG
rnacentral:sRNA from 2 species